GAUUCUGGUCAGGACGAACGCUGGCGGCGUGCCUAACACAUGCAAGUCGAACGGAGAAUUUUAUUUCGGUAGAAUUCUUAGUGGCGAACGGGUGAGUAACGCGUAGGCAACCUACCCUUUAGACGGGGACAACAUUCCGAAAGGAGUGCUAAUACCGGAUGUGAUCAUCGUGCCGCAUGGCAGGAUGAAGAAAGAUGGCCUCUACAAGUAAGCUAUCGCUAAAGGAUGGGCCUGCGUCUGAUUAG
rnacentral:rRNA from 1 species